UGGGGAAUCUUGGACAAUGGGCGCAAGCCUGAUCCAGCCAUGCCGCGUGGAUGAUGAAGGCCUUAGGGUUGUAAAAUCCUUUCGUUGGGGACGAUAAUGACGGUACCCAAAGAAGAAGCUCCGGCUAACUUCGUGCCAGCAGCCGCGGUAAUACGAAGGGGGCUAGCGUUGUUCGGAUUUACUGGGCGUAAAGCGCGUGUAGGCGGAUUUGUAAGUUGGGGGUGAAAUCCCGAGGCCCAACCUCGGAACUGCCUCCAAAACUACAAGUCUGGACCUAAGUAGAGGCAAGUGGAAUUGCGAGUGUAGAGGUGAAAUUCGUAGAUAUUCGCAGGAACACCAGUGGCGAAGGCGACUUGCUGGACUUAUGGUGACGCUGAGACGCGAAAGCGUGGGGAGCAAACAGGAUUAGAUACCCAGGUAGUCCCUGAGCGGGCUGGCAAGGCGCAU
rnacentral:rRNA from 1 species